GCAUGACACCACACUGGGUAGA
rnacentral:miRNA from 1 species